rnacentral:lncRNA from 1 species
GACAACGUUCUGUAGGACAUUGGGUACAGGCAACAGAUUUGUGACAAAUGCAAAUCUCAAUUUCUACUAUUUAUAUGUUCUAGAAGGUUUGAUCGGAGGUAGCAGGAACAAUUUCCAUCUUGAGAAGAGGUGCCUUAGAACCCUGGAAUGUGAGCAUGUAACUGCAAUAAGCACCGUGAAAUAGGUCUUCUAAGAAACUACAAUUCUGUAAUAAAAUUUGCAAAUUGUACUUUUUUGGGAAAAAA